GGGUGUGGAUUGGACGCUUGCAGGCACCCACAGCUGGGGAUUUGCUCACAGCAUGUUAAUUCCUGCUCUUAACAUCUGAGCCAAGUUGUGACAUUGAUUGAUUUACAACCUUUCAAAGCCCAGACUGAUGUAAUGAGCAGAAGCUUCAAUUAGCUUUUGCUGGAGCUGCAAGCUCCCUGCAGCAUCCAAGGAAAGUUACAAAAGAUCCCGAGCUACUGCAAAAGGAAUCCCCCAGGAUGCGUACAACAAGUGCCAUACAAGGAGAAAUAAAGACAGGGAAGCACAGGACUGAAUGCUGUUAUAAAGCAUGGAAACAGAGCAGUUGGGCAACGCUGGAUUCUUCUCAUUAAAGACAGACGAAAAGCAAAGCCUCGUUAUAACCUGCCUAUUUGUGACAUUGACAUGAUAACAAGAAGGUUGACUGCUGUGUUUUUGCAGAGAAACCCAUGAAGCAGCACAAAUGACUGAAGCACGUGUAAUUGCCUAAAAGGUUGCGGGUACUCCAGGAAGGUGACAGAUUCCCUUUCUGCUGUUGUCACCUUGCCCUUACUGCAUGCUGGGGUAAAUGACAAGAGGCAAAGACAUAUCACCUGCAAUCACAGACCAUAUUGUGUACUCUUUGAACAAGAUUCUUCACAAAGGAAUUUCCCCCUUUUGCCAAGAUAAGCUUGCAAGUCAAAUCUUCAUUUUCAUUCUAAAAAGCUUGACAUCUGACCCCAGUGAAAAUUUAACUUUUUUUUUCCUUCAAGUUAUGCUGAACUGCAUAAUAGGGGGGACACUGUCAAAAACUGUCAAGGAAAUUGGGAAGAAAAGCAAAAAUGAUUGCAAAGAAAGAGGACAGAAAGCACCAGGAGCAUGAGAGGUUGUAGAACUGUCCCCUGUCCUGCAGAGCAGGACGAAGCGACCUUAACCCUCAGAAGAUUCAGACAGCUUAGAGAAACGCAGAGCAGAUGUCUGAAAAUCCCUGAAACUCAAGAAACAACUCGGCCCAUUUAUCAAACAGGUGAACACUACAUGUACUCCCAGAUCUAGCUGCCUGAAGUUAGGCUCCCCUGUCCAGAAAAGGAUUCCUUCUAGGAGAAUUUGCGCUAAUUUACUGAACUAUAGCCAUAUGACUUAAAUGUGCUUCAAAACAGUUCUUCCUGUUCAGAUGAGCAGACCAAACUUGGGUGAGGUAUCUACUCAUGGAGGUUGACGAAACAUAUCUCUAAUCAACCAAGCCUGACCAGUUGUUGACCACAAAGGCUAUAAAAGGUUAUAAAACAGAAGCACUCUGUUAAACAAAUGUCAUGAGCAUGUAACACAGCAGCAUUAGCUGCCUGGCUUUCAAGUAAGCCAUGCACAGGAAGUAAAAGUUCAGCCGCCACUUGAAUAUGCUUCUUACCAAUAUUUCUAGGUUUCUUGCUAUUCUCCAGUGUUUAGAUUCUGUGCACUGCCACAUUUCAGGAAAAGUAUUAAGCUAUUCCAAAUAUAACUUGAAAAAUAAGUAAAAUGAUGCAAGAAACUGUAAGUACCUUUGCUCCCAAAUACAUUUCCCACAAGCAGAUUUUACUAAGUACUGAAUGCAUGAACUUUGACUAUGUGAUUUAAUAAAUGCUCUGCAGAUUGGUCUCA